rnacentral:rRNA from 1 species
GACGAACGCUGGCGGCGUGCCUAAUACAUGCAAGUAGAACGCACAGUUUAUACCGUAGCUUGCUACACCAUAGACUGUGAGUUGCGAACGGGUGAGUAACGCGUAGGUAACCUGCCUGGUAGCGGGGGAUAACUAUUGGAAACGAUAGCUAAUACCGCAUAAUAUUAAUUAUUGCAUGAUAAUUGAUUGAAAGAUGCAACUGCAUCACUACCAGAUGGACCUGCGUUGUAUUAGCUAGUAGGUGAGGUAACGGCUCACCUAGGCGACGAUACAUAGCCGAGCUCCGCGGGUCGUCGGCCAACCUGGGACGCGGACACGGGCCCGACUUCUACGUGAGGCAGCAGUAGGGCAUCUUCGGCAAUGGACGAAAGUCGGACCGAGCAACCCCGCGCGAGUGAAGAAUGUUUUCGUAUUGUAAAGAUCUGUUGUAAGAGAAGAAAGGGUGUGAGAGUGGAAAGCUCACACUGUGACGGUAUCUUACCAGAAAGGGACGGCUAACUACGUG